rnacentral:rRNA from 1 species
AUUGACCGCUGGCUGCAGGCCUAACACAUGCAAGUCGCACGAGUGGCGGACGGGUGAGUAAUGUCUGGGAAACUGCCUGACGGAGGGGGAUAAAUACUGGAAACGGUAGCUAAUACCACAUACCACAAGAUGUCCCCUGAUGGGAUGAGCUUGUUGGUGGGGUAACGGCUCACCAAGGCGACGAUCCCUAGCUGGUCUGUGAGGAUGAACAGCGGCACUGGAAUUGGGACACGGUCGAGACUCCUACGGGAGGCGUCAGUGGAGAAUAUUGCACAAUGGGCGCAAGCCUGAUACAGCCAUGCGGCGUGUAUGAAGAAGGCCUUCGGGUUGGAAAGUACGUUCAGCGGGGAGGGGUUACCCGCAGAAGAAGCACAGGCUGACUCCGUGCCAGCAGCCGCGGUAAUAC